AUUGAACGCUGGCGGCAGGCCUAACACAUGCAAGUCGAGCGGAAGAAGGGAGCUUGCUCCUGGAUUCAGCGGCGGACGGGUGAGUAAUGCCUAUGAAUCUGCCUGGUAGUGGGGGAUAACGUCCGGAAACGGGCGCUAAUACCGCAUACGUCCUGAGGGAGAAAGUGGGGGAUCUUCGGACCUCACGCUAUCAGAUGAGCCUAGGUCGGAUUAGCUAGUUGGUGGGGUAAAGGCCUACCAAGGCGACGAUCCGUAACUGGUCUGAGAGGAUGAUCAGUCACACUGGAACUGAGACACGGUCCAGACUCCUACGGGAGGCAGCAGUGGGGAAUAUUGGACAAUGGGCGAAAGCCUGAUCCAGCCAUGCCGCGUGUGUGAAGAAGGUCUUCGGAUUGUAAAGCACUUUAAGUUGGGAGGAAGGGCAGUAAGUUAAUACCUUGCUGUUUUGACGUUACCAACAGAAUAAGCACCGGCUAACUUCGUG
rnacentral:rRNA from 1 species